GACGAACCGAGCGAACGUUGUUCGGAAUCACUGGGCUUAAAGGGCGCGUAGGCGGGUGCUCAAGUCCGUGGUGAAAUCCUCCGGCUCAACCGGAGAACUGCCUCGGAUACUGGGUGCCUCGAGGGUGGUAGGGGUAUGCGGAACUAUCGGUGGAGCGGUGAAAUGCGUAGAGAUCGGCAGGAACACCCAGGGGGAAACCAGUCGACUGGGCAUCAGCUGACGCUGAGGUGCGAGAGCGUGGGGAGCGAACCGG
rnacentral:rRNA from 1 species